UCAUCAUGUGAAGGAAAAUGUGACUGCAGUGGAGUGAAAGGAGCAAAGGGUGAGCGUGGGUUUCCUGGUCUCCAAGGCAACAUGGGGUUCCCGGGCAUGCAGGGCCAUGAGGGACCCGCUGGGCCGCUGGGCCCUAAGGGAGAGUAUGGUGAGUCUGGAACUCCCGGGAUGAAAGGAACACGUG